GAUCAUGGCUCAGGACGAACGCUGGCGGCGUGCUUAACACAUGCAAGUCGAACGGAGCACCCUUGAUUGAGGUUUCGGCCAAAUGAUAGGAAUGCUUAGUGGCGGACUGGUGAGUAACGCGUGAGGAACCUGCCUUUCAGAGGGGGGACAACAGUUGGAAACGACUGCUAAUACCGCAUGACGCAUUUUGAUCGCAUGGUCGAAAUGCCAAAGAUUUAUCGCUGAAAAGAUGG
rnacentral:rRNA from 1 species